rnacentral:rRNA from 1 species
GACGAACGCUGGCGGCGUGCUUAACACAUGCAAGUCGAACGGAAAGGCCCUGGUUUUGUGGGGUGCUCGAGUGGCGAACGGGUGAGUAACACGUGAGUAACCUGCCCUUGACUUUGGGAUAACUUCAGGAAACUGGGGCUAAUACCGGAUAGGAGCUCCUGCUGCAUGGUGGGGGUUGGAAAGUUUCGGCGGUGGGGGAUGGACUCGCGGCUUAUCAUGUUGUUGGUGGGGUAGUGGACUACCAAGGCUUUGACGGGUAGCCGGCCGGGGGGGGUGGCCGGCAAUAUUGGGACGGAGAUACGCCCAAGACUACUAGGGGAGGCAGUAGUGGGGAAUAUUGAACAAGGGGCGGAAGCCUGAUGCAGCAACGCGGGGUGCGGGAUGACGGCCUUGGGGUUGUCACCCGCUUUCGCGUGCGACGAAGUGUGAGUGACGGUAAGGGGUAAAGAAGCACCGGAUAAAUACG